CUGGUCUCAAACUCCUGGCCGCAAGCAAUCCUCCUGCUUCAGCCUCCCGUAAUGCUGAGAUUACAAGUGUGAGCCACCACGCUUGGCCUCUUUCUCUAUUCUAAAACUUUUUGUGGCUCUUGACUGUAAAUGCAGAACCUAAGUUAUACUAUGCCUUUGCAAUGCUGGUUCCUUAGCCUAGAAUUACAACAAACUGUCCUUCAAGAAUUACUUGUCCUUCAAGCACAAUGUAAAACGCCAUCUUUCUUCUGCAUUCCCCUGUUGUCUGAGUAGCACCUACUGUUCAUACCCUCAAGUACUGCUUUUUAACUCAGUGUUUUGUAAUUGAUUACAUAUCUGUCUCAAUGAGUCUUAAGUUCUCUAGACCAACGGAGCCCUGUUUUAUCUAUGCAUCUCCUCCCUGGCAAAUAGAAGAUGUUAAUUAAAUUCAUUUGGCAAAAGUGAAUUUAAUUAACAUCUAUGAGGGGGGGAAAAGGAGACCUAAAUUAGGGGGUGGCUACACAUUCCUUUAAGAGAACUUCAGGACACGGAAGGAGUCAAGGAUAAAAGACAGGAGGUGAGACUUGUGUUUUAAAGUAAUUCAGGGGUGCUAAUUAGGUUAACAGGUUACCAAGGACCAAAUUCAAUUUUGGUGCCAGACAUGGACCACUGACAUCCUGGUAUGACAUAAAAAU
rnacentral:lncRNA from 10 species